UAGGGAAUCUUCCGCAAUGGGCGAAAGCCUGACGGAGCAACGCCGCGUGAGUGAUGAAGGUCUUCGGAUCGUAAAACUCUGUUAUUAGGGAAGAACAAAUGUGUAAGUAACUAUGCACGUCUUGACGGUACCUAAUCAGAAAGCCACGGCUAACUACGUGCCAGCAGCCGCGGUAAUACGUAGGUGGCAAGCGUUAUCCGGAAUUAUUGGGCGUAAAGCGCGCGUAGGCGGUUUUUUAAGUCUGAUGUGAAAGCCCAUGGCUCAACCGUGGAGGGUCAUUGGAAACUGGUAAACUUGAGUGCAGAAGAGGAAAGUGGAAUUCCAUGUGUAGCGGUGAAAUGCGCAGAGAUAUGGAGGAACACCAGUGGCGAAGGCGACUUUCUGGUCUGUAACUGACGCUGAUGUGCGAAAGCGUGGGGAUCAAACAGG
rnacentral:rRNA from 1 species